rnacentral:lncRNA from 1 species
AAUCUGAUUUUGGUCUGAUCAGAUGCUUUUGUCCUUUGGUUUCCCCCAGAACUGUGAUCUAUGAAUUCUCAGAGGAUACUGAAGUUUCCUGAAUAUGAACACUUCUAGAGACAUGGGCAACAAACCAAAUGGACUUCAUGUGAAAUUAUUGACUACUCUGUGCCUCUCAGCCUCAAUUAGCCCCUAAUUCUAGGCACCUGGAAGCCAAAGCAAACCAUAAGGAGCCACAAGCACUACCCCGAUGCAGCAUCUCUGGAAGGAAGUUUCACAUGAACCACAUUGGCUCUCUGAGGUAUCCAUUUCAGCAGGGAUGCAAGUUUCUGGCAGAGGAAGAAGCAGCAACAAUGCCCAACAAAAGUGCCAGCGGCAGCAGAAGAGAUUGGAAAAAGUCUUGCCAAUGCCUGAUGGAGACAGUGCAUCCGUGGGGAACAGAAUGUAAAUCAAAGUGCCUUCCUACAGUUUUCCAACAGAGUGGUCUUGGCAGUAGGCAUCCCUGUGGGAAGCUGAAUCUGGAGAUGAAAGGAGGGUAGAAUGUAGAAUCCAUGUGGUUGGUUAUAGGCCUUAGCCAUGAGUAUAUAUAAAGUAACUUUGGGAAUAAAGGUAUGUUUUAAGAUACUUUAACAGGGACUGAAGUGUCACUGACAGCAAGAUGAGAGACCAAUUGUCAUAAAUGGGCCAUUUCUACUCGUGACCUAGGGCGGCAACUUUGUAUGAUUAGUAUGAAUGAUGCUUUCUAGAGUUGUGUUCUAGGGACCAUUCUGCCAAUUUCUACUUUCUAUUCUACAUUAUUCUAUAUUUUUUGUAUUCUAUAGACAUGGUUCAGGGCAACUGCUCACGUCCAUGAUCUUUGACCCAAUUUUAAGUACUAAUUUGGGUUGCCCUUAAGAAACACCUUAGAUGUACGUAUUAAUUUUUCUAGCUUAUAAUGUAUUUUCACAUGUAGAAUUACAUUUUUAUCUUUUUACCCUCACAAACUCUAUGAGGUAAACAUUUUAUUCAUAGCUAAUGGGAAAUACAUCUAGGAGUUAUUUUGCUAUUUCUACCAUAAUAUUGUAAUAACACAAUUCCUAGCACAUAGUAAAUGAUCAGAAAACACCUGAUAAUCAUGGAAUUAUUCUUUCAUUAUAUAAACCUAUGAAAAAUGUAUGUUCAAAUAAAGAUUUAAUUAUGAUAAAAUAGAUGUUUUAGAUCUUCAUGGAUACAAUAACUGUAUUCAUGGUCAGCCAUACAAGUAAGAAUUGUGGAGAGUCCCGUGUUUUCCAAUUUCGUGAAGACAAAAAAGGUUCCAGCGUUUCUGAACUGCACCAUACUCAAUGGCAAGUAAAUGAUAUUGUACUUUCUUUCUUCCAG